GCUACUACCGAUUGAAUGGUUUAGCGAGAUGCUCGGAUCGGGCCCAGCUCGUGCGAAAGCAUGUGCCGGGACUGAGAAGAAGGUCAAGCUUGAUCAUUUAGAGGAAGUAAAAGUCGUAACAAGGUUUUCGUAGGUGAACCUGCAGAAGGAUCAAAAAAGGAAAAGCGUCGGGUUUGGGAAGAGAGUAGAAGUACCGGGUCGCCGUAUCUUCAAAAAAAAAAAACAAACAACACCUCGCCGCUUCCGCGAUCACACAUCUGCGACACUGAUCUUCGCC
rnacentral:misc_RNA from 1 species